GACGAACGCUGGCGGCGUGCUUAACACAUGCAAGUCGAACGGAAAGGCCCUGCUUUUGUGGGGUGCUCGAGUGGCGAACGGGUGAGUAACACGUGAGUAACCUGCCCUUGACUUUGGGAUAACUUCAGGAAACUGGGGCUCAUACCGGAUAGGAGCUCCUGCUGCAUGGUGGGGGUUGGAAAGUUUCGGCGGUUGGGGAUGGACUAGCGGCUUAUCAGCUUGUUGGUGGGGUAGUGGCUUACCAAGGCUUUGACGGGUAGCCGGCCUGGGAGGGUGACCGGCCACAUUGGGACUGAGAUACGGCCCAGACUCCUACGGGAGGCAGCAGUGGGGAAUAUUGCACAAUGGGCGGAAGCCUGAUGCAGCAACGCCGCGUGCGGGAUGACGGCCUUCGGGUUGUAAACCGCUUUCGCCUGUGACGAAGCGUGAGUGACGGUAAUGGGUAAAGAAGCACCGGCUAACUACGUG
rnacentral:rRNA from 1 species